rnacentral:rRNA from 1 species
GUCUAUGGCCAAACCACCCUGUAUGUGCCAGAUCUCAUCUGAUCUCAGAAGCUAAACAGGGUAGGGCCUGGUUAGUACUUGGAUGGGAGGAAAUAUGAUAGGUUGAGUGUGGUGGUGC